UUUCCCUCUAUAAAAGGUGAUGAGUAAUAAAGAAAUCUCCACGCUCUCAUUUUUCAACAUCUCUCCAAUUGCUAACAAGCAAGAAGUUUGCCCACUUAAGCUUUCUCUAUUCUCUAGUUGCCAAAAUCUAAGAUCGUUUAUUCAGGACGACCAAGAAAAUGGCUGUUGGUGAAACCAAAGUUGCCCAAGAGGAAUGCAAGGUU
rnacentral:lncRNA from 1 species